GACCAGAUAGCUCAAUUGGUAGAGCGUCCGUCUGAAGUUCGGAAGGUCCCGGGCCCGGGUUCGAACCACGGUCUGGCCU